CUUCUAGCGGAAGUGAUUUGUUUGAAAGUUCUUUCCCCUCUCGUUAGCUUAGAGACAUCUCCACGUCCAGGUCCAUCUGCUGGCUUUAGAGACUGGCUGUGGGGAAACCAUGAGUGGAAAAACGCGAGACAAAGUAGUGACAUCGGGAAGACUGACAGGAAAGGUUCAAGUGAGCCGAGCGCCUCCUGAUAGAGGACCUUCACUCCUACCUCAGCCCAACUACUCUCUGUACUCCACGGACUCAGAGGACCAGGUCUCCACUCUACACAGGGGCCUGGACAAGUGUGCUGCCUUGCUCAAUGGCAUUCUUAUGGAAGAUGAAGCAGAAUCAGCAGAUCUUCAGAGAACCCCGAAGAAAGUAACAGGCAAACAAAGAUCCUCCAGUUUCCAAGGAAAAAAGCCUGGAAAGAAAUUCCCAGCAAAGGCAGCCACUCCUACUCAAAUGAGAAUUGUAAAGGGUGGCACAGACAAAUCAAGAGGAUCCGCCUCCCAGACAAAGGCGAGUGAAAAGAAACUGGUCAUGAAAUCAACUGCUACUCAGAGUUCAGAACGCCGCCAACCAGGAGCCACCCAUAACUUCACCCCUCUGGCUCCACACUCCGGAGUGAAGCUUCAUCCUCCUCAGAAACCAACCGUGCCUGUUCAGUCUCUGUCUGUGGGUUGUCAGACAUCUGCGCACCAGUCCGCCUCCGUCCCUCCUCCACUGCAGUCCACUUCAGCAAUGAAGGAUCAGAACCAUUCCCGCUCUGCGUCUGCAGUGUGUGACGGUAAAGAGGAGUGUGUUCCUCUGGGAGAUGCUGAUGGUGCAGCUGGCUGCAUCCUGAGGGAGAGCUGCUGCAGGGAGGAGAUGCUACGCUCUCUGCUGGAAGAAGUCCGGGCUCUGAUCGCUGGACAAGGGAGUGUAGCAGAGCGGCUGCUUGGCCGUUUGGAGCAGACCGUCUGUGUUUCAGUCAAUCAGAAUCCUGACCUCUGCAGUGUCAAGAAUCGGCAUGAGAAGGUGGAGGAACCACAGAAAUGCCAGAUACUCCUUUCGUCAGAAGAACCAAGCCUCCAACAGGAAGUCAUCUCUGCCCAGUCCAGCCUUCAGCAACUCCAGGACGACCUGACAGAACUACGGAAAGCUCUUCAGGACACACAGAGCCGGCUGAGGGACACCGAGGCAGAGAAGGCCCUCAUAAAGACAGAGUUGGAGGCGGCUAGAAACCGGCUGCUGGAGAGCGAGCGAGAGAAGAUUGACCUCGCAUCACUCGCUCAGCGAAGACUGAAGGAAAUAAAACAUCUUAGAAGUCUCCUUCAGAGUCACUAUUCAUCAAAACCUAUGGAUGUCCAGAACACAUUGUCCAUCACCAAGCAGUAUUUUGGCCAACAUAAUCAAGUAGUGGCAUCCACUGACCGCAUCAAGGAAUACCUGAUCUCCCUUUACCAGGGGGAGCCCACACACACUGAGAAUCUGCGUGUUGCUGCAGAACGAGAAGAAAACUUGAAAUGCGACGGAUCAAAUCAAAGAGAGCAAUGUGUGGAGACAUUACCUCAUCACCAGGACCAUCAUCACCUCAACCUAUCCAUCUCUGAGGACGUCCUGCCAUGUGAGGUGGAGUCUGUGUGGUCCAACUGGAGCAUGAAGUCGGAGUCGACCUUUAACACCAGAGAUGAGGCGGCGUUCAGAGAUGGCCUGGCAGCUCUGGAUGCCAGCAUAGCCAAUCUGCAGAAAACCAUUCAGCUGGAUCUGAGGAAGUGACUCGUCGGCCUUCAGGUCUCUACAGCUCAGUGUUUGACCUUUUUAAUAUGCGACCUGAACACACUCCAAGCUUCCGGAGCGAGCCGCCUUGUGAAUGGGAGCCUCACCGACGCAGUCCUGAGAACAGAGGAUGUGGCUCAAACGCCUGCUGGUCAAAGGUCAGCCGAACGGGUUCCACAGUCGCACCUGUCUGUU